rnacentral:rRNA from 1 species
CCUACGGGAGGCAGCAGUGGGGAAUUUUGGACAAUGGGGGCAACCCUGAUCCAGCGACGCCGCGUGGAGGAUGAAGGUCUUCGGAUUGUAAACUCCUUUUGGAGGGGAUGAAUGGCUUGGUGAAUAGCCAAGUGUGACAGUACUCUCUGAAUAAGCCACGGCUAACUACGUGCCAGCAGCCGCGGUAAUACGUAGGUGGCAAGCGUUACUCGGAAUCACUAGGCGUAAAGCGCAGGUAGGCGGUUGGGUAAGUCUCUUGUGAAAGCUCCCGGCUUAACUGGGAGAGGCCAAGGGAAACUACCCGGCUAGAGUGUGGUAGAGGUAGCUGGAAUUCCCGGUGUAGCGGUGAAAUGCGUAGAUAUCGGGAGGAAUACCUAUGGCGAAAGCAGGCUACUGGACCAUCACUGACGCUGAUCUGCGAAAGCUAGGGGAGCAAACAG